rnacentral:rRNA from 1 species
UACGGAGGGGACUAGCGUUGUUCGGAAUUACUGGGCGUAAAGCGCACGUAGGCGGAUUUGUAAGUCAGGGGUGAAAUCCCGGGGCUCAACCUCGGAACUGCCUUUGAUACUGGCGAUCUUGAGUCCGGGAGAGGUGAGUGGAACUGCGAGUGUAGAGGUGAAAUUCGUAGAUAUUCGCAAGAACACCAGUGGCGAAGGCGGCUCACUGGCCCGGUACUGACGCUGAGGUGCGAAAGCGUGGGGAGCAAACAGG